GCAAUGGCUCAAAGGGUCAGUGCAUCUGGCUGUUAACCAGAAAGUUGGUGGUUUGAGCCCACCAAGGGACA